CCAGUAUGCACAGACCAGUACACCAGGUACAUGUAGACCUGGUACACAGAGACCCAAUGCGAAUCACAUGGAAGGUAUCCAUCUAGACAAAUGCUGACUUGCCUCAUCGUGUAAGUUAAGUACGUUAUUCUCCAUUCCACUUGUGCAUGAGGGGGUGGGGGUGCGGGGAGGUUUAAUGACUGACUGUUACAUGUCCACAAACUAAUAAAUAAGUAGUACCGGGGACAUAGAAUGUGCUGCUCCCCAUGCAGCCUGUGUGCACACUGCAUGUGCUAAAUAAAAGCCUCUGGUCGUGUCUAUGGUGUUAGGAUGGCCCCGCACACACAGGAUUCUGAAAAUUUUGUUUUAAGAACAUUUUUUGGGCUGGUGAGAUGGCUCAGUUGGUAAGAGUACCCGACUGCUCUUCCGAAGGUCCGGAGUUCAAAUCCCAGCAACCACAUGGUGGCUCACAACCAUCCGUAAUGAGAUCUGACACCCUCUUCUGGAGUGUCUGAAGACAGCUACAGCGU
rnacentral:lncRNA from 1 species